GACCUGGCUGGGCGGUCCGCUUAACGGCGUGUACUGUCUGGCUGGGUCUUACCUCCUGGUGAGCCGGUGUGCCCUUUAUUGGUGUGCGCCGGGGAACCAGGACCUUUACCUUGAGAAAAUUAGAGUGUUCAAAGCAGGCCUAUGCCUGAAUACAUUAGCAUGGGAUAAUAAAAUAGGACGUGCGGUUCUAUUUUGUUGGUUUCUAGAGUCGCCGUA
rnacentral:rRNA from 1 species